rnacentral:lncRNA from 1 species
ACAAAUAUUUACAUGAUUUCUGCUUAAUUUAUUGCUUUUAAUAUUAUUUUACAGAAAAUGGUGUAAAAGGACAAUUUGGAGAAAAUGCCCCUAAAACUGCCUUAUUGGAGCAAAAGAGAGCAAGUAUGUCAAAUUGGAUCCACAUCAAGCAACUUGGCUUUUGGGCCCGCUUAUGGAUCAGCCCAUUCCCGCACUCACUCCCUCACGCGCACGGUGGACCACACUCCUGCACAUGGACAAGCUCCCCUCCACUUCAACGCCCUCACGUGGACCCACCGGCCCGUUCUCGCGCAAGACCAGCACAC